UUGAGAGUUUGAUCCUGGCUCAGAACGAACGCUGGCGGCAGGCUUAACACAUGCAAGUCGAACGCACUCUUCGGAGUGAGUGGCAGACGGGUGAGUAACGCGUGGGAACGUGCCCAUCGGUACGGAAUAGCUCCGGGAAACUGGAAUUAAUACCGUAUACGUCCUUCGGGAGAAAGAUUUAUCGCCGAUGGAUCGGCCCGCGUUAGAUUAGGUAGUUGGUAGGGUAAUGGCCUACCAAGCCUACGAUCUGUAGCUGGUCUGAGAGGAUGAUCAGCCACACUGGGACUGAGACACGGCCCAGAC
rnacentral:rRNA from 1 species